rnacentral:rRNA from 1 species
GAGGGGUGCUAACGUUAUUCGGAUUUACUGGGUGUAAAGGGUGUGUAGACGGGUUGUUAAGUUCGUUGUUAAAUCUUCCGGCCUAACCGGGAAGCUCGCGAUGGAGACUGGCAGUCUUGAGGAUGGAAGAGAGAAGUGGAAUUCUCGGAGUAGCGGUAAAAUGCGUAGAUCUCGAGAGGAACACCGAUGGCGAAGGCAGCUUCUUGGUCCAUUCCUGACGUUGAGACACGAAAGCGUGGGGAGCAAACAGGAUUAGAUACCCUGGUAGUCCACGCUGUAAACGAUGAUCACUAGAUGUUGGCCCUGUUUUGCAGGGUUAGUAUCGAAGCUAACGCGUUAAGUGAUCCACCUGGGAACUACGAUCGCAAAGAUUA